UAUCACAGUCAUUAUUAGUAACAUAUGAGUUCUGAUCUCAUCCCUGCCCAGCUGCCACCUUGCUGAAACCUAAGGAGGAGAAAUAACCCGAAAGCUUCUUCAGGAAGAAGUAGUAGUAAUACAACGAGCUGGAUGUGUGAUGUCACAGUAGGCAUCUGGGAAACUGCAGAGCAUUGAACUUUGGACUUGAGGGGGGGGAACACAAGCCUUGAUAGCCUUUGGAUCAGAGAGAGGAAGAGGGAUUGCACACAAACACAUUGUAAGGCAGCCUUUCCCAACCGGUGUGCCUCCAGAUGUUGUUGGACCACAACUCCCAUCAGCCUCAGCCAGCAUUGCCAAUGGUCAGGAAAGAUGACACCGGUUGGGCAAGGCUGAUUUAAGAGGUAUCGCUCAAGCAAAGCUUCUGACAAAGUCAUACUGAAAGCAAAGUGCUCCCCUAAAAUGAAAUGGAAGUCAUCACUGGGCAGUCAUUGUGUCUAGAUCCUAGAAUGGCACUUCUUUCUGUCUUUGAGGUGGAGGGGCAGGAUGUCUCACACAGUCAUCUCUUAAAAAUGUUAUUAGCAGCAGUAAGAAUGCCAAUUGCCAGAAGAUAGAAGAAACUAGGUGAUAACUUAAAAUCAGAAUGGUAUCAACAAAGUUGGUCUAUCGCAUUAACAGAAAACUGGCACGAAAAAGAAAAGACAGAAAUAGUUCAAGAAACACAAUGGACAAUUUUCCAACAACUUGGUUCAGCUUUAUUUCAUAUGUGGCACAAGAAGAACAUAAUUGGCAACCCCCUUCCACACACGGACUUUUUUUGGAAAGACUGUAUCAGAUAACCCUGAGGAAAAAGAGAACAAUUACUAUAUAAGGACAAUCAACAAAUGGACUUCUUUUGAUACUACAAUAUGACCAAUGUUUUUUUUUUGUCAUGUGUUAUAUUAUUGUUUUAUACUUUACUGAUAUUGUAUACCAAAAAUGAAAUAAAACAUGAUUGGGAGGAAAAAAGAAGAGUCCUGCUGGAUCAGGCCAAAGAUCCAUCUCUGGAGGUGGUGGGUGUUAUUAGUGCAUCGGGGGGGGGAGAUGCCUAGGCUUUGAGGCCUAAACUGUGCAGCUGCCUAGCCUGGUCCAGGGCAGGACCUGAGAAGAAGCAGAGAGGUGAGCAAGCUGGCUUUCCAAGGCCCAGGGAGCCUAAUCAGACCUCACUAAUGUGGGCCAGGCAAGGGGAGCUGGAAUAUUGUGUGUGUGUGCAUGUCUGGGGGCAUAGUUAGUUGAAAAAGUUGAAAAAGAAUAAUGCACCUUAUUUAACUUUUCUCAUGCAAACUCAUGUAUUACCAAAAUAGGGUGUGACAUUUGCUGGUAGAGCCAUCAGAAACAGUGUUUGCUGGCUGGCCCAAGGCCUUGCUGAGAACAGAAACUGUGUGCUUGUACAGUUCAUUCUAGCACCGGUAGUUUGAAGAGACGUAUAGUUCCUAUGUGACAUGCUGUCAAGCAUUUCCUUAUGAAAAGUGAUGUUUAUAGGUAUUAAUUUAAUCUUUAAAGUAAAACUUCUCUUAAUUGCUUUCCUGGCAUGGCAAAGGAGACCAGGGUAGUUAAUUCCAGGAAGCAGCUGCCUCAGGAGAACUGAACUCACAGUUGGUGCAUCUACAGCUGUGUGUGAAAAUUCAUUCUCAAAUUUGACACAUGUUGACACCAUACAGGUGUUCAGCUGUUCGUCAGACAAACAAACGUCAUAGAAUCAGAAUAGUAGAGUUAAAAGGGGGCUAUGAGGCUAUCGAGUGCAAUCCCCUGGUCAGUGCAGGAAUCCAAAUUAAAGCAUACCUGAGAGCUAGUGUGGUGUAGUAGUUAAGAUGUUGGACUACGACCUGGGCGACCAGAGUUCAAAUCCCCACAUAGUCAUGAAGCUCACUGGGUGACCUUGAGCCAGUCACUGCCUCUCAGCCUCAUGAAAACCCUAGAGAGCUAUGCUAGUGGGGCAGUAUAAAAAUUUAAUAAAAUAAAUAAAUAUAUAAAUAUUCACAGGGUCACCAUAAGUUGGAAUCAAAGGCAGUACAAUUACAUUUUUGACAAGUGUCUGUCCAGCUGCCUCUUAAAUGCUUCCAGUGUUGGAGAGCCCACCAGCUCCCUAGAUAAUUGGUUUCUUUGUCGUACCGCUCACUUAGGAAGUUUUUCCUGAUGUUCAGUUGAAAUUUUGCUUCCUGCAACUUGACCCCAUUGUUCCAUGUCCUGCAGUCUGGGACAACCAAGAAGAGAUCCUGCCCCCUCUGUGUGGCGACCUUUAAAGUACUUGAAGAGUGCUAUCAUAUCUCCCCUCAGUCUUCUCUUCUCAAGGCUAAACAUGCCCAGUUCUUUCAAUCUCUCCUCAUAGGGCUUUGUUUCCAGUUCCCUGAUCAUCCUUGUUGCCCUCCUCUGAGCCUGCUCUAGUUUGUCUGCAUCCUUGAUAAAAUGUGGUAUCAGAACUGGAUGUAGUUCCCAAGAUGAGGACUAACUAGUGCCGAAUAGGGGGGAACCAAUAUUUCACACUAUUUGGAAACUAUACUUCUGUUAAUACAGCCUAAAAUAGCAUUUGCCUUUUUUUGCAGCCAUAUCACACUGUUGGCUCAUAUUCAGCUUGUGACCAACAACAAUUCCAAGAUGCUUCUUGCACACAGUAUUGCUGAGCAAAGUAUCCCCUAUCUUGUAACUGAUUUUGGCUUCUUUUUCCUAGAUUUAAACUUUGCACUUAUCCCUGUUACAUGUUAU